UGUCAGUAGUGGUGCUGGUGGCUA
rnacentral:piRNA from 1 species